rnacentral:misc_RNA from 1 species
GAUGAAGAACGCAGCGAAAUGCGAUAAGUAAUGUGAAUUGCAGAAUUCAGUGAAUCAUCGAAUCUUUGAACGCACAUUGCGCCCCUUGGUAUUCCAUGGGGCAUGCCUGUUCGAGCGUCAUUUGUACCUUCAAGCUUUGCUUGGUGUUGGGUGUUUGUCUCGCCUCCGCGUGUAGACUCGCCUCAAAACAAUUGGCAGCCGGCGUAUUGAUUUCGGAGCGCAGUACAUCUCGCGCUUUGCACUCACAACGACGACGUCCAAAAGUACAUUUUUACACUCUUGACCUCGGAUCAGGUAGGGAUACCCGCUGAACUUAAGCAUAUCAAUAAGCGGAGGA